rnacentral:rRNA from 1 species
AGAGUUUGAUCAUGGCUCAGAACGAACGCUGGCGGCGUGGAUAAGACAUGCAAGUCGAACGGGACUACUUUUGGUAGCAAUACCGAGAGUAGUUUAGUGGCGAACGGGUGCGUAACACGUGGGCAAUCUGCCUUAAAGUGGGGGAUAGCUCGGCGAAAGCCGAAUUAAUACCGCAUGUGAUCGGAGGGGACAUCCCUUCGAAAUCAAAGUCGGGGCAACCUGACGCUUUUUGAGGAGCCCGCGGCCUAUCAGCUAGUUGGUGAGGUAAUGGCUCACCAAGGCUCUGACGGGUAGCUGGUCUGAGAGGACGACCAGUCACACUGGAACUGAGACACGGUCCAGACACCUACGGGUGGCAGCAGUCGAGAAUUUUUCUCAAUGGGGGAAACCCUGAAGGAGCGACGCCGCGUGGAGGAUGAAGGUCUUCGGGUUGUAAACUCCUGUCAUUUGGGAACAAGUUGGACGCCGUAACUGCGCGUCCAUUGAUAGUACCAGAAGAGGAAGGGACGGCUAACUCUGUGCCAGCAGCCGCGGUAAUACAGAGGUCUCAAGCGUUGUUCGGAUUCAUUGGGCGUAAAGGGUGUGUAGGUGGCGCGCUAAGUCGGGUGUGAAAUUUCGGAGCUUAACUCCGAAACUGCAUUCGAUACUGGCGUGCUUGAGGACUGGAGAGGAGACUGGAAUUCAUGGUGUAGCAGUGAAAUGCGUAGAGAUCAUGAGGAAGACCAGUGGCGAAGGCGGGUCUCUGGACAGUUCCUGACACUGAGACACGAAGGCCAGGGGAGCAAACGGGAUUAGAUACCCUAGUAGUCC